CUAACUUUGAAACAGAUUUAUUCAUGCCUAUUAUUCGUGAAGUUGAACAAAUCGCUGGCGUGAAAUAUGGCCAUUCUCAAGAAA
rnacentral:snoRNA from 1 species